rnacentral:rRNA from 1 species
GACGAACGCUGGCGGCGUGUUUAACACAUGCAAGUCGAACGAAGUGGCGAACGGGUGAGUAAUACGUGGGUAACCUGCCCUCCUUUUUGGGAUAAGCCUUGGAAACGGGGUCUAAUACCGAAUAAAGGGGGAUGGGCUCGCGGCCUAUCAGCUUGUUGGUGGGGUGAUGGCCUACCAAGGCGGUGACGGGUAGCCGGCCUGAGUGGGUGACCGACCACGAUGGGAUGGAGGAACGGCCCAGAGUCCUAAGGGAGGGAGAAGUGGGGGAUAUUAAGCAAUGGGCGAUAGCCUGAUGCAACAACGCCGCGUGGGGGAUGAAGGCUUUCGGGUUGUAAACCUCAUUCGGUAUCGAACGGGUAGGUGAAGAAGAGGCGCCGGCUAACUACGAACCAGCAGCCACAGUAAAAC